rnacentral:lncRNA from 1 species
AUAAAUCAGUCCAAUCGACACAUAGAGCCUGUAUAUUCUAAAACCAUAAACAAUCAACAAGAAAAUUGCACUAACAGAGACACGGAAAACAUGCUUUGGAAGCUCAGACGUUUGUGCUCGAAUGGAAACUGAAAUUCAAAGGGGGAAGACAACUUACAAGGCUUUCUUGGUGAAAUUCGCAAGCGGCAAUGGAUAUCCGAUGAAGUGGUGACGGCUCGGUGAGUUGGAAAUCUCCGCUGCUGUUGCUGCUCAAACCAUCCACGGAAGAGGAGCAGGUGGAGAAGAAGUUGAUGAGAGUCUCGACAUCGUAGCUGUUCUUGUCCUUUUCACCGAGAACAGAAAGGUUGCUGAGGAUGAGUUCUUUGGGCUUGGCGCGGACAGAGACGGCGGUAAAGGGGAAGGGCUGUGGUGGAGGCGUUGGCAAAAAAGGCUUGUAUUGGAAGCGGGGAAGAGCAAAACGGGAAAUGAGGGGUUUUGUGGAGGAGUCGUUUGGGGAAAUUGGGGGGAAUUUGAGGACGAAGGGUGGAAAGAGAGUGGUGGCAGCCGGCAGCCGGUUGAGGUGGUGGGAAAUUUGGCAGUGGUGAUUGGAAAAAAUUUUUAUCGGAUGAUUGAAGCUGAAGCUCCC